rnacentral:misc_RNA from 1 species
UUUUCAGUAGCAGUCCUCUAGUAUGUACGUACGCUCUUUGUACGUACGUAUGUAUGUACGCAUGUAUGAAUGUAUAAGCACCUAUACCUUUUGUACUCCUAUCCAUGUACCUCCAUAAAGCGAAGCGGCGGCGCGUCCAAUUUUACGAUCUGUCAUCAUUGUAAUACGGUCGAGAUGCCGUCUGCUCUGUGACAGUUAAAUCAAAAGAUACAUGUAAAAUUGUGUGUUGCCGGACAAUUACGAACAGUUUGUGCGUAGUGUGAGCUAUUUUCGUUUUGAUUGCCAUUUGUUGACGAAAGUGUGGCGCGGUGAGAUAAUGAAUUUUGAAGUUUAGAUAGGGUAACUGUAACCGAAUGAGACGAUGUUUUGCUGUUUGAGAAACUGCUUCGACGGCCUCGGCCUGUCGACAACGCAAAUGCCAAAAAGGGAACCGAACCCUAUCAUCCUAGACACUUCUCAUAUGGGUCACGAGGUUGUGAUUGUAAAGAAUGGUCUGAGAGUAUGUGGGCGAGGCGCAGCUCUGACGAAUGCACCUUUGGCACAGAGCAAAAGUUACUUCGAGGUGAAAAUCCAGCAAGGCGGAGUUUGGGCGGUUGGUUUAGCAACGCGUUCUACGGAACUGAAUACUACCGUAGGGGGAAGUGAUCAGGAAAGUUGGGCCUUGAAUUCAGAUGGCAUAAUACGUCAUAAUUCAGAGGAGUUGCACAAGGUCCAGAACAUCGCUCAGGAGGGCGACAUAAUUGGCAUUUCCUAUGAUCAUAUAGAAUUGAACUUCUAUUUGAAUGGAAAGCUCCUGGAUGUUCCUAUUACAGGAAUAAAAGUAACCACAUAUCCCAUCCUCUAUGUCGACGACGGAGCUAUUUUAGAUAUAAUAUUGGAUGAUUUCAUAUACCCGCCACCAAAUGGGUUUGAAAAAAUAAUGCUGGAGCAAUCAUUGCUCUAGCAUAUGUAUUCAGCGGGCUAUUAAAAAAACACACAGAAAGCAUUUCAAUAAUAAGAAGAGAAACUAACCCAACUACGCUCACACAGUAUUUUCUGAUCAAAGUUGACACACAACGGCUCUCGACUACUCAAAUGCUUUUUCGCAAGCUACAGGUAUUAUGCAACGUACAUACAAAACACAGAAUGAUAUGGCACGAUUUUGAAUAGAUAUCAUUGAACGACGCUGUGCAGUUACGGAUGGUGUUUUUACAAUUUACAACUUCACUUUCGUGUCCAGUCAAUACUGACACGGUUUAAUUAUUACCCAGAUGUCGAGGCUCCGAACAUUUUGUUUUAAAAAUUACUAAAAAUACUUGUAAAAGAGCAAAUCAAUGUUUUGCCUUUGCUGAUAGCUAAGUUGAAAAUGAUAUUCAGUGUAGCGAAUGUAACGAAACAGUACAUAAUUGAAAAAAAUUUUACUUGGAAAAUAUUCCACUUGAAUUAGUGUAAAAUAAAUUUUGAUCACAAGCUGUAUAUAUUCUGUACAAGACCCUUGAUUCUAGCCGAUUAAAACGACACAUCUGACAUAUGAAAAAACUCUUUACGAUACCUAUUUUCUUUUCCUAUUGUUCUUCUGGUGAUUUUCCUUUCCCUUCUUAACCCAAAUCGUAUGCAAAAUUUACUUUGUGAUGAUAUAGGUAUAAAAACUCCGUCUCUUAUUAUUGCUGGUGUUGCAAGCUUUGAAAAAGCUUUUCCUUUGAUAAAGCUUGCAAAGACGCAAGUGUGUAUCUUUGGUCCUUAAUAUUACAUUUGCUUAUUGUUAUUUAUGGUGCGCUAUACAAUUUCCAUAUGAAA